rnacentral:lncRNA from 1 species
UCCUUCGUGGAGGCUGGCUACAUUUUCACAACGUCUGGUCCCAAGCUGGAUCUUCGGGAAAAGGGAUCAAGGAAAUGACUAUUCCUCCAGAUAAAAUGCUGCACAUCUUUCACGGAUUCUGGUCCACCUUGUCCUCACACGGGGAUGCAGACUGACAAGCUUCCACCAUGAAGGGUUGUUAUUUGCUGUAGCAGGGAGAGGAAAAUGGAGCAAAUCAGUCACAGCUCAUCAUACAGCAGAGUGUCCUGCAUCACAUCUGCUGAUAUGUUAUGGCCAAAAUACAUGACUAUCUCCAAGGAGCUGAGAGGUGAAAUAUGGACAUUUGUCUGGAUGGAGUAGAACCAAGACAGUCGUAAACAUCCUAUGGACUACACACCGUUUAACAAGAUGCAACAGUAUUCUGCCUUUGCCUUUCCUGGAGCCCUUAAACAGGCUGAAGUGAAAAGCACCAUGACCUGUCACUACAAGACGAGAAGCCUCAGGAGAAGGAAGGAGAUCCCCUUUCAUUGGUUUUGCCGAGUUUCCCGAGCUCCAUCCUCCUACAGUUAAAUCAACACUCUUUAUCCUUAGACUGCUGAUAAUCUCACCAACCGCUUCCCGGUAAGAUCUGUAAUGCGUGAGGUCUUCCUUCUUAGUUGUUUGCAAACAUCAGUGAUUAGGGACAAUUAGGGACUGGUGUGCCUGUCAUUCUUCUCCUUUCAGCUGAGGAGGAAAUCCUCAUGCACCGUUAUCGGGAAUGAGACUUCAUCUGUCAGCUGCAGUCUCAGGAAUCCACGGGUUCAUUCAGUCGCAACUCCAAUCUCACUAACUUUAUCUGUGUUCCCCAAAUGCCUUAGACUAUUUGCUUCCCACUGAUAAGGAAACCUGGCAUCUCAUUUUCUCAAUGUCCAGACAAAGAUUCUUACAUAGCAAGAAACUAAGAUAGGUGUUACGGAACGUGGAGGGAACCAGGAAAACCAAAUAGAGGACCCCCUUCAUGGGGCUUCCAACAUGACAAUAGGCAAAAGAGAAGAAACAUACAUGUAAGAGACAAGCAAAACCCAGAACCAUCACUUAUGAAGGAUGUCCUCAUCACCCCUCCUUUGCUGCCUGUCAAAACCGGUGAGGGCUCAUAUGACACCUUAAUUAUGAAUUAAUCUUCGUCCCUCCUACACCAGCACUUCCCCUCACCCCAGUCGAAGCCAUCU